UCAAGAAACUUCCACAAUGGGCGAAAGCCUGAUGGAGCGACGUCGCGUGAUGGACGAAGUGCUUCGGCACGUAAACAUCUUUUAUGUGGGAUGAAAUUAUUGACAGUACCACAUGAAUAAGGGGCUCCUAACUCUGUGCCAGCAGGAGCGGUAAUACAGAGGCCCCAAGCGUUAUCCGGAAUCACUGGGCGUAAAGGGUGUCGAGGCGGUUGUAUUAGUCGUUCGUAAAAUCUACGAGCUUAACUUGUAGGCGGCGAACGAAACGGUACGACUUGAGGUUUGGAGAGGUGCGUGGAACUCACGGUGUAGGGGUGAAAUCCGUUGAUAUCGUGGGGAACACCAAAGGCGAAGGCAGCGCACUGGCCAAAAUCUGACGCUCACACACGAAAGCGUGGGGAGCAAACAGGAUUAGAUACCCCCGUAGUCCCUGAGCGGGCUGGCAAGGCGCAU
rnacentral:rRNA from 1 species